AGGCCCAUAGCUCAGUUGGUAGAGCGCCGCUCUUACAAAGCGGAUGUCAUCGGUUCAAGUCCGGUUGGGCCUA
rnacentral:tRNA from 1 species